rnacentral:rRNA from 1 species
UACAGAGGUCCCAAGCGUUGUUCGGAUUCAUUGGGCGUAAGGGUGUGUAGGUGGCGCCGUAAGUCGGGUGUGAAAUCUCGGGCUUAACUCCGAACUGCAUUCGAUACUGCGGUGCUUGAGGACUGGAGAGGAGACUGGAAUUCAUGGUGUAGCAGUGAAAUGCGUAGAGAUCAUGAGGAAGACCAGUGGCGAAGGCGGGUCUCUGGACAGUUCCUGACACUGAGACACGAAGGCCAGGGAGCAAACGGG